CCUACGGGAGGCUGCAGUGAGGAAUAUUGGUCAAUGGACGAGAGUCUGAACCAGCCAAGUAGCAUGAAGGAUGACUGCCCUAUGGGUUGUAAACUUCUUUUAUAAAGGAAUAAAACGAGGCACGUGUGCCUUUUUGCAUGUACUUUAUGAUUAAGGAUCGGCUAACGCCGUGCCAGCAGCCGCGGUAAUACGGAGGAUCCGAGCGUUAUCCGGAUUUAUUGGGUUUAAAGGGAGCGUAGAUGGGUUGUUAAGUCAGUUGUGAAAGUUUGCGGCUCAACCGUAAAAUUGCAAUUGAUACUGGCAGUCUUGAGUACAGUUGAGGGAGGCGAAAUUCGUGGUGUAGCGGUGAAAGGCUUAGAUAUAACGAAGAACCCCGAUUGCGAAGGCAGCUUACUAAACUGUGACUGACAUUGAUGCUCGAAAGUGUGGGUAUCAAACAGGAUUAGAUACCCGAGUAGUC
rnacentral:rRNA from 1 species